ACCGGAGGCCCCGUGGCAGGAGCUGGACUCUGCCCUGCGCCGAGCUUUGCACCCAGCAAACAACAACAGGAAGGAAAAAAAAAAAGGGAAGAGAGAGAGAGAGAAAGAGAGAGAGAGACUUUUUAGUAAUUAGUGCGACAUAAUUGAGUAAUGCGGUAGCUCCUUUCCCCCCCCCCCCCCUCCCCUCCACACACCCUUUCUUUCCCACCUCCCCCCUGCUCUUCUUCUUCCCCGAUCGAUGCAAUAUCAUUAGGGUGAGAGGCAUUGGGGCAGCGCUCGAGGGGACCGAACCUCUCCCGGUACCGGGGGGUCCCGUCGGUCGUCUCUCCGUCCCCACCGGCCCGACCCGGCAGCGCCCCGAAGCCGCGGGGAUGGGCGCGAGGUUCGGUGCCCCGUCUCGAAGCCGGUUCCUCUCCCCAUCUUCCCAUCCAUUCGACAGCUGGAUGCUAUUGAUCCCUUCCCUCUCCUCCUUUUUUUUCCUUUUUUUUUUUUCCCUUUCCCGAGCUCCCUCUCCUCUCUAAUUCCCUCCGUUCCUCCGGAGGAGCCGCCCGGUGCCGGGGGAAGAGCCCGAAAGGCAAAACGACGCUGCCCCAAAUAAGAGGCGGAGGAGAACCUACGGGUGAGAUUUAUGGCAUCCGACGAACCAGGUACAGCAGCAGGGGAUUUUUGUGCCACGGGUUUUGUUUGUGCCACGCACGGGCGGGAGCCGCGCAGCCCCCGCACCGCCCCGCACGCACUUCCCCUAUAGGCGACCAACUUCCUUAAAGUUCUUUAAGGCUUCCAACCAAGAGCCCCAUCGCCUGGCAGGUGAAUUAUUCAGUGCCUAUGGAUUCCUCGCGAGCCCUUUCAUUCCGGUCCCAAAUCUUUCCCAGCCCACCCUUUGCCUAUGGAUGUCUCGAUUUUACAACAAUCAAGCGGGAGGCGAAGAGCGUGGCAAUUUCUGCUAAUCGAUUUUCCAUACAAUGGGCCCCAGAUGAUGUUUUAAAAUGUGAGAAACUCAAAUGUGUUGGUUUAAAUAAGACUUUUGCAAUCGAUAGCUUUUAAAAGAAGAGACUUUGAUACCUCUUCUGGAAGGGGAUUUCGAACGCUUUCGCUUCCCGAACAAAACAAGGCAGGAAAAUCCUAAAUAAUAAUAAUAAUAGGAAGAAAUAAAUCCGAAGUUUCUCCUG